ensembl:misc_RNA Y_RNA Y RNA
GGCUGGUUGGAAGGUAGUGAGUGAUCUCACUUGAUGGUUCACAGUCAGUGACAGAUUGAACUACUUGUUCUACUCCCCUCCCCCCUUCUCUCUACUGCACUUGACUAGUCUUUU